AGAACCGGGACAGGACUGGGACAGGACCGGGACAGAACCGGGACAGGACCGGGACACACUGGAGGAGGACGGAGGCACGGCCAGAACCGCUGGGAGGUGCCGGAGUUUGGGCUGGGGGAACUGGGGGGGACUGGGUGGAGAACUGGGACAGAACUGGGACAGAACUGGGACAGAACCGGGACAGAACUGGGACAGAACUGGGACAGAACUGGGACGGGCUGGGGGGCCCAGGAGAGAGCGGGAACCCCGGGACAGAGCGAGACCCUCGGACCGGGACCUACUGGGACCCUCGGUGUGGAACUGGGACGUGCCGGGAGCCCCAGUUUGGGACCAGGACGUGCCGGGAGCCCUGGGAGCCACGGGCAGGACGGUCCCGGCAUGGAGCAGGAAAGCCCCGUGGGUGCCACCCGCUCUGACCCCGCCACCCCGCCCCUGUCCCCGCGUGAGGAGGAGGAGGAGGAGGAGGAGGAGGAGGA